rnacentral:rRNA from 1 species
GACGAACGCUGGCGGCGUGCUUAACACAUGCAAGUCGAACGGAAAGGCCCCUUUGUGGGUACUCGGGUGGCGAACGGGUGAGUGACACGUGAGUAACCUGCCCUUGACUUCGGGAUAACUUCAGGAAACUGGGACUGAUACCGGAUAGGGAUCCUUUCUUCAUGGUGGUGGUUGGAAAGCUUCGGCGGUUUUGGAUGGACUGGCUGCUUGUCGGCUUGUUGGUGGGGUAGUGUAUUACCAAGGCGUUUACGGGUAGCCGGCCUGGGGGGGCGACCGGCCACAUUGGGACUGAGAUAAGGCACAGACACCGACGGGAGGGAGAAGGGGGGAAUAUUGCACAAGGGGCGGAAGCCUGAUGAAGAAACGCCGCGUGCGGGAUGACGGUCUUAGGGUUGAAAAACGCAUUCAGCAGGGGCGAAGCUUGUGGUGACGGUACCUGAAGAAGAAGCACCGGCUAACUACGUG